rnacentral:tRNA from 1 species
AACUAAAUAGUUUAAGGGAAAACAUUAAUUUUGUAAAUUAAUAAUAAAUAUAAUUUUUUAGUUG